AGCAAAGUGGCGUUGUGGAAACGUGCUGGGCUCGCAACCCAGAGGACGUCCGUGGAUCAAAACCGCGCUCCGCUA
rnacentral:tRNA from 1 species